AAGUAGGUUUGAUAUUUUACAUUCCUCUCUCCCAACAGACGACCUCUAUUACGACUAUUAACUACUCAGUCAAGUCAAGCCAUCUCUUCUGUUGCUAGGAUGAGUGUGACCAUUAGUUAUGUUUUUCGAAAAGAAAAAGAAAAAAGGAAAGCAGGAAAAAACAAGCAAAAAAACCCACACCUUCAAAUAUUUGUAUUUUUAACGAUAUUUGUUUUAAUGUUAAUUUUAUAACAUAAUUAUUAAUUAAAUCCGUAAAUUUAAACUGUGCAUGCACUACAAGAAACAAUAUUCUGGUUAUUAAUUAUAAUAUAUAAAACACUCGCGAAUAGUUUGACUGGUACCAUAGUAUUCUAUCAUAUCACAUUUAUUUAAAGUUAAAGAGUAAAACCCAGUCUGAACAAGCCUCUCAAUAUGACGUCAUAAACGCUCAUGACGUUCACUUAGCAACGUGUUUACUUUACAAAGCACGUUUGUUAAAUCUGCUACUUAGUCCCGUAUUAUUUUGUUUCAUAUAGUUGUGGAACACUAAUUAUGCAGGUUUUGUUUUUGGAUUUAAUCUAUUCUUGCAGAUUUUACAAAAGGUUUUCCGACGGGAUUAAGAGGAAAAGAAUCCACAAAUUUGACGAUGCUUGGUACCUUGAAUUUAGCAAUCUGAAAAAGUAAAUAGCAACCCGUAAGAUAUGACAUGAUAACUCAAUAAUACGUGACGUGUCUCGUUGCCGUAGUGGUUAAGCCAUAGGAAAUGAGGCUGAAGGAAGGGCCGAUAUCUUGGUCGGACGAUUGUUUCUGUAGGAUGAUUGCCUAUGUAUAAUGUGUACUUUGAAAUACUGUAAGUGUCCUUCCUGACGUCGCAUCCCCCCUCGAGCAACAUCCUGUAUUCGGCCCUUCCUUGGAUUUGAAGAUCUAGAUCAUACUUGUUGAGAGGUAAUUCCAGUGUAUACCUCACAGUGAUCGUGAACAAUUCCCACAGUUGUCGCCCUUUGCUCGACGGAAUCACCAAUCAUCGACUGGAAUGAAAUUGGCGCAGUCUCGGUGGCUCCGUACGAAAAACAGAAGAAGAUAUAUUGUGAAGUGAAAUGAAGUUUGAUCUACCACAAAGGAAGGAAGGGAACUCUGUUUACGUGCCCAUAUCCCGAAGGUUCAGGCACGCCCACCCCGGACUUAGCCCCUGACUUCGCCAGUGGCCAAAUCCAGGGCGGAUCUAUCACAAACACUGGGACCAUCAGAAACACAUUGUGAUAUACAAACACUCAUUUUUUUUUAAAAGAAUAUGAAAUAAUAUGUAAUAUCAGUCGUUAGAAAGGUUCAGUUUUUGUGGUAAAGUUUUAACCAAAAAAGACACAUAAAACAAAAAUCAAAUCAAAA